rnacentral:tRNA from 1 species
GGGGUUGUAGCUCAGUGGUAGAGCACUUACCUCACACGCAUGGGGCUCUGGGUUCAAUCCUCAGCACCACA